rnacentral:rRNA from 1 species
AGGACGAACGCUGGCGGCGUGCUUAAUACAUGCAAGUCGAACGAGGUCCAUCCAGUGGCAACACUGGUGAAGACCUAGUGGCGAACGGGUGAGUAACACGUGAGGAACCUGCCCCGAAGACCGGGAUAACCCUUCGAAAGGAGGGCUAAUACCGGAUACCCCCACCAGGUCGCAUGGCCAGGUGAGGAAAUGGAUUCCGCUUCGGGAGGGUCUCGCGGCCUAUCAGCUUGUUGGUGAGGUAACGGCUCACCAAGGCAUCGACGGGUAGCUGGUCUGAGAGGACGAUCAGCCACACUGGGACUGAGACACGGCCCAGACUCCUACGGGAGGCAGCAGUAGGGAAUCUUGCGCAAUGGGCGAAAGCCUGACGCAGCAACGCCGCGUGGGGAUGAAGGCUCUCGGGUUGUAAACCCCUUUCAGCAGGGACGAAAUUGACGGUACCUGCAGAAGAAGCCCGGCAACUACGUGCCAGCAGCCGCGGUAA